rnacentral:rRNA from 1 species
AUGGAUGUCGAGGAGGACACGGGACUUGGUUUCAGCGGCAUGGAAUUAUUUAACCUUGUGCUCUUGGGAAGAAGAGUGUGGAGGCUACUUCAAGAUUCGUCCACUUCGAGUGCAAGAAUUCUAAAGGUUGUCUACUUCCCUAACGGGUAUAUCCUCUCUGCUGAGUUUGGUUCACACCCCUCUCAAGUGUGGAGAUCAAUGUGUGAAGGGAGAUAUGUCAUGUGUGUUGGUCUGGUAAGGAAAAUAGGUAAUGGUAGAACUACUGAUGCAUGAAGAGAUAAUUGGAUACCUAGAGACUAUCGUAUGAGGCCAACACGUCAUGUGACCAAUGACCCACCUAGGCUAGUUUCAGAUUUUAUCAUCCAUGCCUUGAGGCAAUUGAACAUGCAGGAGUUAGAAAGGCACAUGUUGCCUGGACGUAGAAGCUAUCAAGCAGAAACCGAUGAGUUAUGUCCCUCAAGAGGAUUUUUGGGCUUGGCAAUAUGA